CAUUUUUGGUUUUCCUUGCUUCCAUACAAACCAUUUGUUCUUUUCCUAGAUUUCCUUCUCUCUUCAACUUCCUUCUUCUAAGCUAAACCAACUUUCUUCUCUUUUGGCUCACCUCUCAUUUUCCUACCUCCAACUUCAUCUUCCUCCGUGAGAUUUUCAAUUAUUUUAUGGUGGUAGGCAGUUUGAGAGUGGUACAUAUGUGGUUUAUCAAUGUUGAAAAUAUUAAUUUUUACAUCCAAGAAGAACUAAUGGCCGAACUCUGGAAGAAUAUUGAUGGAGAAAAGUAUUCAAAAAGCAUAUUGAUGAGAAAAAAAUAUUUGUUGAAAUUAAAUACACUUAAAUAUUAUUAAUUUGUCAUAAUUUUAUUGUUUUAAUAUUGAGUUUAUUUUGAUUAUGAAUAUAUAAAUCUGUU